ensembl:lncRNA
GACUCAUUACAUUCCAUGAGAUUAUCAAAUAUAGCUAUAUACAGUAUUACAUUCACAGGGUACUAAAGGUAAGUAUAAAACAUUCAUAUUUCAUUCAACAUAUUUCAGGAGGUAGCUGCAAGAACAAAACAGAUUAGUGCAAACAGCUAAAAAGUGAGUAAGGGAUUGUCAUCAACAGUUAACACACAUUGACUCAUUACAUUUCAUGAGAUUAUCAAAUAAAGCUCUAUACAGUAUUACAUUCACAGGGUACUAAAGGUAAGUAUACAACAUUCAUAUUUCAUUCAACAUAUUUCAGGAGGUAGCUGCAAGAACAAAACAGAUUAGUGCAAACAGCUAAAAAAAGUGGAAACUUCCUUUUUCUUUUCACAGGUCACAUUUCAGGAACAGGUAAGUAUUUUCUUUUCACAGAUCACAUUGCAGGAACAGGUAAGUAUUUUCUUUUCCUUUACAUUUUUUUUUUUGUUUGGUUUACAUUACAGGAACAGGUAAGUGAACACCUUUUUUUUUUAAUAGGGCAGCGAUCCGCCUACAUCCUUUUACACAUCAUUUACA